rnacentral:misc_RNA from 1 species
UUAACUAUUAUAUAGUACUCAGACAUCACUAGAAUUCAGAGUUUGAUUCUCUGGCAGGCACAUGCAGGCAAAGCCUACAGUGGAGACCACGGCCUGCCAAAGCAACAAGAGUAAAUAAACACGGGUUGGGGCUUGGGUAUCCCGAUCCCGAUCGUCGCGCCCUGGUAUCCCUGGAGCUCAGGUUGGCCGGCCGCCACAUGGACGAACGGUGCCCGGAACCAGAGUUCAUCCCCGUGCAGAAGGAGGCACAAGUGCCUCCAAGCAACCACGGCUAGAAGAGCGCCCCGAUAGAGGAACGGACCGUCUACCUCUUUAAUGAUCCUUCCGCAGGUUCACCUACGGAAA